rnacentral:rRNA from 1 species
UGGGGAAUAUUGGACAAUGGGGGGAACCCUGAUCCAGCAAUGCCGCGUGUGCGAAGAAGGCCUGAGGGUUGUAAAGCACUUUCAGAGGGGAGGAGGACUAUUAGGUUAAGAGCUAGAUAGUUGGACGUUACCCUCAGAAGCAGCACCGGCUAACUCUGUGCCAGCAGCCGCGGUAAUACAGAGGGUGCGAACGUUGCUCGGAAUUACUGGGCGUAAAGCGCGUGUAGGCGGAGCGCUAAGUCGGGCGUGAAAUCCCCAGGCUCAACCUGGGAACUGCGUUCGAAACUGACGUUCUCGAGUAUCGGAGAGGGUGGCGGAAUUCUUGGUGUAGAGGUGAAAUUCGUAGAUAUCAAGAGGAACACCGGUGGCGAAGGCGGCCACCUGGACGAUUACUGACGCUGAGACGCGAAAGCGUGGGGAGCAAACAGGAUUAGAUACCCCGGUAGUCCCUGAGCGGGCUGGCAAGGCGCAU